ACAUUCACUGCGCCAUAAACAUUUGAAAACUGCUGGUGAAAACUCCAUAGAGCUGUUAAUAUUGUCCUUCUGACAAACUUCCGAAAUGGAGUCAAGGUAGAUACCAUAUUUAAUAAAAAUCUAUUGGGAGAGUUAAUGACCCUAGUCUCAAUCAACUUCUGUCUGGGGUUGUUAUAGUUUUCUAUUCUUGAUAUAGCUGUAUUUCGUUUUUUAAUUUGUUUUGGUUUUUGUUAGUUUCCACUCAUUGUUUGUUUUCUUUCCCAGUGUUUUCUAGUUUCCGUUUAUUUUAGGCUUUUUAUUGUAACUGGUUUAUGGUAUAGCACGUACCUAAAAAUUACUUUGUUCUGUGAUCAGAUUUACACUAACUUUUAGUUUGAAUUCAGUUUUUCCCAUUUCUGUUCGUUUAUAUGUAUUUCUGCUAUGUAUGAGAGCAUUCUAUUUAGUUUUUGUUUCAUUUUCACACUAACACCGCUCAUCUUUCAAACCAAAAUAGAACUGAUUCAAGUCAGCUAUUGAGACAUUGCCUUAAUUUGCAUAUUCAGUUACAUAUGGUGUCUACCAGGCUUCAUUGUGAGAAAUGGGCAUUGUUCCCUUCUCCUUGCAUUAGCUUAUUUGCAGUUGAAAAUAAGUUUAAUUUAUGUCAUAAUCAUCAGAUUACAAGUAAAAGUGAAUGUGCAGGGUUGGGUUUAAAGCUGAAGCUAAGAAGCAUCGCUCUGAAUUUUUAUUUUAAUUGGUUCAUAUUUAAUCAAGUACAUCACUCAAGUAAUUUAUGUGGAACUGCCAUUUAAUUAGUCUAGUUUGUGCUUUCGUUCUUGUGUAUGAAAUUCAGGGCUCAGCAUUGCACUUAUCAGAGUUUUAGGUUCAGAGAAAUAUUGCUUGCGUUGGGUUUAAAGAUUAACGCAAGCCCUAAGGUUUUUAUGAAUAAAUACAACAGUUUACUUGCAGCAAAAUUACUAACCUAAACUCCACUCAUAUGGGUUUAAUAUGAGCUUUAAAUGGAGAUUUUUUUUGUUGUUGCAUAAUGCAUGUGGACUUAGUGUGUUUUCAGAUCGGAUUUAUCUAUUUUAAACAAAACUUGUAUGAAUUUUGUCAGCAGCGCAUGUAAAACUGUGUACAACGACUUUUUCAUCAAUAUUUGUCACUGAGGACAAGAUAGGAGCAGUGAAAUGGUUGCAGAAGAGUCCUAAUCUCUCCGUAAGAUCAAGGGCUUGAUUUAGAGGAAUUACUCUCAGCCGGUGCAUGUAGUCCUCAUGCAUAUUUAUCGAAUAUUGACUGAUUUCCCAAGCGUGCUACCCAAAAGGUUUUUCUUCUCCGCUUUGGUAAACAUUUUGAGAAGAGUCUGUCUGUAGACAUGCACUCUCAUCUCAUAUGCACUGUCUGUGAUAUUACUGAAAAGUGUUUAACAAAGAUUGGUGCCUUAGUGCAUAAUUAUUCCCUUAAUUCAGCAGAAUGUGGCAGUAAUAAUUUAGUUUGCAAAUGCAGUAUAUAUAAGCACUCUGAAGGAUGCUGCAAUGAUUUGCCAGGUUUUUUUUAUUAGUUUUUUUUUUAUUUCUCUGUGCUGAUCGGGAUUAACAAAUCACUGUCACUUGUGAUUACAAGCUAAGACAUUUUAUUAAAUCAUUUUAAAGAAAUUGCAGGAAGGAUUUAAUUUUGUAUGUCAGGUACCAAUCCUCUAAUUUCAUGGAUAUUUUUAAUACUUUAUGCCGUUUAAAUGUCUGCAAAUUUGAAUGCAACUUAUCAUAGGAUCUGGCUUUUUUUAUGUAUUUUGCAUGAGUGUAAUGCUUAAAAAUAAUACAAUAUGUAUGCAAACAUAAUCCUAAAAUGACUAUCUGCAGUUACAUGGUUGUAUUAGAUUACAUUUACUGACACAAUGUUGUAUCAACGUGUCUAUUUUUUAUUUUUCAAAUCUGAUUUGAGAUAUUAAUUGUUUCCAGUAUCCUUGAAUAGUAUGCAAUUGAUGUCCAAAAAAUUGAAUGCAGUGCAGCAAAACAUAUCUGUGCUUCUUAAUGCUGUUUAUUUGCAACCUUUAUAACACAACAUAAAUGUUGUCCUUUAGAUCAUGAAAUGCAUCCCUGAACUUGUUUAACAAGGUCUCUAUUCAUCCUAAAACAGAUUAAAUAGGUCUCUCAAGGCAGCAGUCGUCAAACAUGUGGAAAGAUUUACUGCCACAAUCCUCUCUCAAGUAUCUCUUAUGAUGUAUUGCUCAUUUAUAAUUGUAAGCUUUCAGCAGAUUAUUAAAUACAUUUUUGUUAGUGUUGUUAGUUGUAAGUGGCUUGCUAGUUAAUUUUUUUUUUUUUAAUAAAAAAGCAUUUACUUUAGGAAUAUUUUUUUUAUAUAAGACGUUAAUGUGCCGGCAUGCUGAAUUUAAAGGGACAGUUCACUCCAAAAUUUGAAUUGUGAUGUUGGUAUUUAUAAUGUACAUCAGAAAUGUACAUCAUGUAGCACGGCAUUUUACGCUCCUCUGUCAUAUUUUCUGGCUGGCCGUGUUGUCUCAGCAUUUCAUGGCAGCUGCGACCCUGGAGGAGCUCCUGCUCAGUGAAGCGUUAGCGUGUUAAAUGUACCCUCUUGAACUGCUUUGUAUUCAGGUUGGGCCUCUGCCUGCCUUUCUCUUGUAAGCAUGUGAGGAACCAGGCACGUGGUUGGCGCUUCUCAUAUUGCAAUUUGCUACAACCUGUGAGGAUUUAGAGGAUGAAAGUGACUGUCCUGUGGAUCAACAUCUCGAGGAUGGAAUAGGUGACCACCGGUCUUACUAUACACCCCUUACAGACUAGAUUUAAGCAAAAAUUCAGUUGAAACUUGAUCUCUGUUCAGUAAUCAUCUAUCAUUUUAUCUAUCGAUUUAGCUAUUGUUCUGUUAUGCAUCAUUCUGUUGUUUUUUGUUUUUCUUUCUUUUUAUUAGACACUUAGAUAAUUAAAUAUUUGCAUUGUCCUGAAUGUAUGCAUUCAAAAUCAAUUUGCAAUACUAUGUCCUGUUUGCCAUCACAAUUCAAAUUAAAUUCAUGAAUUGAACUGAAAAUUAAAA